CCCCUCUGAUGCAUUUCCAUGCUAAUGCUGACAUACCAGGUAGGGGGGUUUUUACCCUGCAUCGGGUGUUGUUGAGAUACAUUCUCCUUCUCUCAAAGCCACCUAAGGGGC